rnacentral:rRNA from 1 species
UACAGAGGCCUCGAGCGUUAGGCGGAAUCACUGGGCUAAGCUAGUGUGUAGGAUGGAGUGCCUCAAGUGCCUUGUGAAAUCCCACGGCUUAACCGUGGAAUUGCUGGGCAUACUGGGUGUCUUGAGCCACUCAGGGGCUACCGGAACAAAUGGUGGAGCGGUGAAAUGCGUAGAUAUCAUUUGGAACGCCAAUGGUGAAAACAGGUAGCUGGGGGUGUGCUGACACUGGAGACACGAAAGCCCAGGGGAGCAAACGGG